rnacentral:rRNA from 1 species
AGUGAACGCUGGCGGUAUGCCUAACACAUGCAAGUCGAACGGCAGCACAGUAAGAUCUUGCUCUUACGGGUGGCGAGUGGCGGACGGGUGAGGAAUACAUCGGAAUCUACUUUUUCGUGGGGGAUAACGGAGGGAAACUGACGCUAAUACCGCAUACGACCUACGGGUGAAAGCAGGGGAUCUUCGGACCUUGCGCGAUUGAAUGAGCCGAUGUCGGAUUAGCUAGUUGGCGGGGUAAAGGCCCACCAAGGCGACGAUCCGUAGCUGGUCUGAGAGGAUGAUAAGCCACACUGGAACUGAGACACGGUCCAGACUCCUACGGGAGGCAGCAGUGGGGAAUAUUGGACAAUGGGCGCAAGCCUGAUCCAGCCAUACCGCGUGGGUGAAGAAGGCCUUCGGGUUGUAAAGCCCUUUUGUUGGGAAGGAAAAGCAGCAGGUUAAUACCCCGCUGUUCUGACGGUACCCAAAGAAUAAGCACCGGCUAACUUCGUG